CCUACGGGAGGCAGCAGUCGGGAAUUUUGGGCAAUGGGCGAAAGCCUGACCCAGCAACGCCGCGUGAAGGAUGAAGUACUUCGGUAUGUAAACUUCGAAAGAAUAGGAAGAAUAAAUGACGGUACUAUUUAUAAGGUCCGGCUAACUACGUGCCAGCAGCCGCGGUAAUACGUAGGGACCAAGCGUUGUUCGGAUUUACUGGGCGUAAAGGGCGCGUAGGCGGCGUGGUAAGUCACUUGUGAAAUCUCUGAGCUUAACUCAGAACGGCCAAGUGAUACUGCUGUGCUAGAGUGCAGAAGGGGCAAUCGGAAUUCUUGGUGUAGCGGUGAAAUGCGUAGAUAUCAAGAGGAACACCUGAGGUGAAGACGGGUUGCUGGGCUGACACUGACGCUGAGGCGCGAAAGCCAGGGGAGCAAACGGGGAUUAGAUACCCCGGUAGUCCUGGCCCUAAACGAUGAAUACUUGGUGUCUGGAGUUAUUAGUGCUCCGGGUGCCGUCGCUAACGUUUUUAGUAUUCCGCCUGGGGAGUACGCUCGCAGAGUGAAACUCAAAGGAUUGACGGNUGNGAGUUGCGAGCGACACGAGGAGAGG
rnacentral:rRNA from 1 species